rnacentral:lncRNA from 1 species
ACCGCGACCAAUCGGCAUGAUCGGAGGCCGAUACUUGGCCGUGAUUUCAAACAAGUUUCCAAAUAUAUUGUACUGUAUAAACUGACCGCCGUGCGUCGGUACCGCAGGAAAAUCAGCCGUUUGACCUACGCCGUUGACCUGCGCCACGUCAGCCAUUUUACUCUCUCUCUUUUUCUCUCUAAUUAAUUUUCUACGCUCUCGUUUGUGUUUGUGUUUUUCUGGAGUAUGGAGGGGUUGAAUGUGCUGGGCUCACAUAUAUAAUUAAUAAAAAAAAUAAAUGUAAAUUAUUUGACUCUUGUUUUGUUUCAACGCAGGUGCCAGGAAGAUGGAAGGAAAACGCGCGAGGGAAUGAGGCGCGUUUGUUUGGAAGAACGGGAAUAAGGGCUGAGAUUAGAGCCGCCCCUGAUCGACGGUUGGUAUUUCCUCAACCUUUUCAACGGC